rnacentral:rRNA from 1 species
ACAGAGGGUGCAAACGUUGUUCGGAAUUACUGGGCGUAAAGCGCGUGUAGGCGGCCCUGCAAGUCGGAUGUGAAAUCCCACGGCUCAACCGUGGAAGUGCAUUCGAAACUGCAGGGCUAGAGUCCUGGAGAGGAAGGUGGAAUGCUUGGUGUAGAGGUGAAAUUCGUAGAUAUCAAGCGGAACACCGGUGGCGAAGGCGGCCUUCUGGACAGUGACUGACGCUGAGACGCGAAAGCGUGGGGAGCAAACAGGA